rnacentral:rRNA from 1 species
AUACGUAGGGAGCGAGCGUUGUCCGGAAUGAUUGGGCGUAAAGGGCGCGUAGGCGGCCCGGUAAGUCUGGAGUGAAAGUCCUGUUUUUAAGAUGGGAAUUGCUUUGGAUACUGUCGGGCUUGAGUGCAGGAGAGGUAAGUGGAAUUCCCAGUGUAGCGGUGAAAUGCGUAGAGAUUGGGAGGAACACCAGUGGCGAAGGCGACUUACUGGACUGUAACUGACGCUGAGGCGCGAAAGUGUGGGGAGCAAACAGGAUUAGAUACCCUGGUAGUCCACACUGUAAACGAUGAUUGCUAGGUGUGGGGGGUCUGACCCCUUCCGUGCCGCAGUUAACGCAAUAAGCAAUCCACCUGGGGAGUACGGCCGCAAGGCUAAAACUCAAAGGAAUUGACGGGG